rnacentral:rRNA from 1 species
UUAAGCUAAUAAGAGCGCAGGGAGGAUGCCUUGGCAUCAGGAGCCGAAGAAGGACGUGGUAAGCUGCGAAAAGCUACGGGGAUUGGCAAGCACGAUUUGAUCCGUAGAUAUCCGAAUGGAGCAAUCCACAUGGAGUCAAGUCCAUGUAUCAUAUACUGAAUAAAUAGGUAUAUGAGGGGAACCGCCCGAACUGAAACAUCUAAGUAGGGCGAGGAAAAGAAAUCAACCGAGAUUCUGUGAGUAGUGGCGAGCGAAAGCGGAAGAGGCUAAACCGAGAGGAGCAAUCCUUUCGGGGUUUAGGACUGCAUUUAGUACAAUGAUUGUUAACCGAACAGCAUGGGAAGGCUGAUCAAAGAAGGUGAGAAUCCUGUAGGUGAAAACGAAAGUUGACGAGCAGUAUCCAAAGUACCGCGGGGCACGUGAAAUCCCGUGGGAAGAUGGGGGGACCAUCCUCCAAGCCUAAAUACUACCUGAUGACCGAUAGCGAAAAGUACUGUGAAGGAAAGGUGAAAAGCACCCCGGGAGGGGAGUGAAAGAGAACCUGAAACCCUGUGCUUACAAGCACUUAGAGCACGUCAAAGUGUGAUAAGGUACCUAUUGUAGAAUGGUCCGGCGAGUUAUUGUAUGCAGCGAGGUUAAGUAGUUCAGCUACGGAGCCGAAGUGAGAGCGAGUGUUAACAGCACGUUCAGUUGCAUGCAAUAGACCCGAAACCGGGUGACCUAUCCAUGUCCAGGAUGAAGUGAGGGUAAAACCUCAUGGAGGUCCGAACCCACUCCCGUUGAAAUGGUAGGGGAUGAGGUGUGGAUAGCGGAGAAAUUCCAAUCGAACCCGGAUAUAGCUGGUUCUCCCCGAAAUAGUUUUAGGACUAGCCUCGUGAUCAAGAUUAUCGGAGGUAAAGCACUGAAUGGCCUAGGGGUCGAGAGAUUACCGAAGCCUAUCAAACUCUGAAUGCCGAAUAAUCAUGCACGGGAGUCAGACUGUGUGAGAUAAGUUUCAUAGUCGAAAGGGAAACAGCCCAGACCUACAGCUAAGGUCCCAAAGUACGUUUAAGUGGAAAACGAUGUGAAAUUGCGUAGACAACCAGGAUGUUGGCUUAGAAGCAGCCAUACAUUAAAAGAGUGCGUAAUAGCUCACUGGUCGAGUGACUUUGCGCGGAAAAUUUAACGGGGCUAAAACGUACACCGAAGCUUAGGCUUGUCACAAUGUGACAGGGGUAGGGGAGCGUUGAAUGAGGGGUGAAGUCGUAGCGAAAGCGACGGUGGACUUCAUUCAAGUGAGAAUGCCGGAAUGAGUAGCGAGAAUUAUGUGAGAAUCAUAAUGGCCGAAAGCCUAAGGUUUUUGGAGGAAGGUUCGUCCGCUCCAAGUAAGUCGGAAGCUAAGGUGAGGCUGAAAAGCGUAGCCGAUGCACAAACGGUUGAAAUUCCGUUACCACAGAAAGAUUUAAACUAAGGGACACUUUUGAAGAGCUGAUGCCGGGUGUUGGUUACCCCGGUCGUAAGGGAACGAAAUUAAGUAGUGAAGUCAGCGUGGAUGAAGGCGAGAAAAGCUUAGUGUAUAUCUUAUGUGUCCGUACCGCAAACCGACACAGGUAGGUAGGAAGAGAAUUCUAAGGCCAACGGGAGAAGGGUAGUUAAGGAACUCGGCAAAAUGUCCCCGUAACUUCGGAAUAAGGGGAGGUUUCUACGGAAACCCGCAGAGAAUAGUCCCAGGCAACUGUUUAUCAAAAACACAGCUCUAUGCUAAAUCGAAAGAUGACGUAUAUGGGGUGACGCCUGCCCGGUGCCGGAAGGUUAAGAGGAGGAGUGAGAGCCCUGAAUCGAAGCCCCGGUAAACGGCGGCCGUAACUAUAACGGUCCUAAGGUAGCGAAAUUCCUUGUCAGGUAAGUUCUGACCCGCACGAAUGGCGUAAUGAUCUGGGAGCUGUCUCAACUGCCCGCCCGGCGAAAUUGUAGUACCGGUGAAGAUGCCGGUUACCCGCGACUAGACGGAAAGACCCCAUGGAGCUUUACUGUAGCUUAAUAUUGGAUUUCGGCAUUUCAUGUACAGGAUAGGUGGGAGACUAGGAAACAUAGGCGUCAGCUUAUGUGGAGUCGUCCUUGGGAUACCACUCUUGGAGUGCUGAAAUUCUAACCUGCAGCCCUGAAUCGGGUUGGGGGACAUUGUUAGGUGGGCAGUUUGACUGGGGCGG